CACUCUUGCUUUGCAUUUGAGAAUUUAAGUCACUUGACCAAAGUCAGACAACAGUGAUUAUAUUACUACAGUGAUUCUGGAGUGUUCUCAACAAAUAAUAACCUCAGAAACAAGUAGGCACUUGGAGACAUUGGGCUGUGGAUUCAGGUUGCCUAGGUUUGAAUCCUAGUCCCAACAUUUACUAAGGCUCUCUGAUAGUGGGCACAUUAUUUAACUUCCUCAGACCUGUUUCCCCAUCUACAAAAUUGGAUUACCUAUGCUCCAAGAGAGAGGCCAUGUGGGUACACCAUGAGAAGUCUGUCAUCUACAGGAAAGGAAGAGAGCCCUCCCAGGAAACUGACUUUGCCAGACUUUGACCUGGAACGUCUAUUCUCCAGAACUGGCUCCUUCUUCAUAGGCUGGGGGUGUAUACAAAGAGGAUAAUGGCAUUAAACCAGCAAGGAAGUGUUGCUCUCCAGGAUAGAAUGUACGAUUAGUAGAUGAGAAACUGAGACUCAUGGAGCCUCAACAUGAAGAUGAUGAAAAUGGAGACCUUCAUCGUGAUCCACUUCUAAUUAAUGAAUAGGAGGCUUGGGCCGAACUGGGUGAUCAGACAUCAUACACAGAGAAGGAGCAAGAGAGAGAUUACACAGAGGAGGAACAAGGUGUGCAGCGGACAGCCAGUGCCAAGACCUCAGACACGUGAGUUGUGGAGUCAUGUUGCAUUUUCUGGCCUUGGUCAAACUGUCCCAGCUGACACCAGGGAAGCAAAAAUGGGAGGAUUCCUUUCAACCAUGGAUGAAUUCUUGAUCCACAAACUUGUGAGUGAUAAAAAUAAAUUUUAUUGUGGGAUUAAACCGCUAAGUUUUUGAUAGUGUUUAUAGGUAACUAAAACAAUCACAAAGUGCUCUCUAUUAUAACCUUUGAGUAUCUCUUAAAAUUAUCUACCUGUUUUCAUCUCUGCCAUCCCCAAGAUUAUAACUUCUCUCUCUCAUAGGUUAUUGCAAUGUAUCUCAACUAGUAUUCUGAUUUCUUGUUUUGUUCUUCAUUAAUCUAUUCCUAUUACACAAUGAGGUGAUUUUAA
rnacentral:lncRNA from 1 species